UACGGAGGGUGCAAGCGUUAUCCGGAUUUACUGGGUUUAAAGGGUGCGCAGGCGGUUAUGUAAGUCAGUGGUGAAAUCUCCGGGCUUAACCCGGAAACUGCCGUUGAUACUAUAUAUCUUGAAUGCCGUGGAGGUAAGCGGAAUAUGUCAUGUAGCGGUGAAAUGCUUAGAUAUGACAUAGAACACCGAUUGCGUAGGCAGCUCGCUAAACUGUAACUGACGCUGAGGCACGAAAGCGUGGGGAGCAAACAGG
rnacentral:rRNA from 1 species